GAUGAACGCUAGCGAUAGGCUUAACACAUGCAAGUCGAGGGGCAGCGAGGGUAGCAAUACCUGUCGGCGACCGGCGCACGGGUGAGUAACGCGUAUGUAACCUGCCCGCAACAGGGGGAUAACCCGGCGAAAGUCGGACUAAUACCGCAUAAAACAGGGGUCCCGCAUGGGAAUAUUUGUUAAAGAUUUAUCGGUUGCGGAUGGGCAUGCGUACCAUUAGGUAGUUGGUGAGGUAACGGCUCACCAAGCCUUCGAUGGUUAGGGGUUCUGAGAGGAAGGUCCCCCACACUGGUACUGAGACACGGACCAGACGCCUACGGGAGGCAGCAGUGAGGAAUAUUGGUCAAUGGGCGAGAGCCUGAACCAGCCAAGUCGCGUGAAGGAUGACUGCCCUAUGGGUUGUAAACUUCUUUUACAAGGGAAUAAAAUGAGAUACGUGUAUUUUAUUGCAUGUACCUUGGGAAUAAGCAUCGGCUAACUCCGUG
rnacentral:rRNA from 1 species